CGAGGCCAGGAAGGAAGGAAGCGGGUGCCAAGAGCGGAGCUGGAGCCCUUUACAGGCCCGUGCGGGCUGCCUUUGAGAACAGGAGGCGGCGACUGGUCUCUCUCCCCUCACGGUUGUUUUCUUCUCUGUUUUUGCUUGCCUUCAUACGAAUACAUUGCACACAUGCGCCUCUUUUAAUAUGCGUUUGUUUGCUUAAUGCGUUUUUAAAAUCUCGUCUCACCAAACCGUGACAGUUAAAAAAAACCAAAAACCAUCACCGUUUAAGUUCUUUGAGUUUUAUAUUCGAGGCUUACAGCAAACGCAGGGCACGUAAAUUAUAAGAACGACCCAAAACCCCUCCAUAUUCCGUGACUUUUUGGAAAUACUUGCAUUUUUUCCAAGCUGGGUGUGUUAGAAUUACCAACCAGCAAAAAAGACCAGCAGCUGAGACGUCCCUUGCCACAUCUGGAGGUCCGAGCAAUAAGGAAUAAUGAAUAGCAGUAAGAGAACAAAAACACAGCCGAAUCGAGACAAUUUGCUCCCCACCCCCACCAAAUCAAGGCACCUAUAGCAGAAAUUCUAAGCACUUAUUCUGCCCUUCCCUGGCACUAAAAAUACAGUAAUAAUAAAUCCAAUAACUAUUUACUGCCCUUCCAUGCCACCCAAAACCAACCGCCUCUGCCUAAAAAAUACUAAAUAAAGCAUAUCCACACUCAUCAAAAUAAGUACAGCUUAAAGGCUGCGAUCCUAUACAGGUUUACCUGAGUGUAGAUCCUAUUGACCGAAGCUGUAUAUCUGAAUAGAUGUGUAUAGGAUUGUGCAGAAAAAUGACAGAAAGCUCCCUGACAACUCAACAUGGGAUGCAGCAGUUGGUUUUAUUUAAGCGGGCUCUUUAGGGAUUUUUUCAUGUGUUGCCUACUGCUGCAUUUUUGCCUUAGCUUGUAAAUUUAGUUGCACACGCAUCUAAAUUUCUUAUUUACCAUCUAGCCUGACAAAGAGUUGAAAACAGCCAGUUGUACUAGAUGACCCUCUUGGUCCCUUCCAACACUACAAUUCUAUGAUUCUAUUUGAUGAUAAAAUUAUUUCCCUAAUAUGGAUUUUGGUGUUACAGUGUAAUCUCACCUUUUGGCAGUAUUGCUCUUCUUUUCUAGCGUUUCUGUCAGCAAGCUAUGCCCUCCUGUAUGAGAGCAUAAAGAGUUCAAGCAGAGUAAUCAAUUUCCCAUAACCCCCAGUUUUCUGGUUUCCUCCUUCCAUUAACACUCAACAUUCUUUGGUACGAUCCUCACUCAGCUGGUUUUUGUGGGUUCCCCUUUAAUGUUUUGUACUUCGGAUUCCCCUGAGGAUGCUCAUACCACUCCAUCUUAUUUUCUAAUGCCCUUGUUUUAGCUCAAUCUCUGUCAGCACUUGCCACCUGAGUUUGCUAUUAGAAAGAACAAUAAAUAAUAAAUAGAAUCCAUCGCCGUAAUCCAGAUCCUAGCAUGGCAAAGAAGUCAGGGUUCACCAUGGAGACUUCUGUGACAACUAAUAAAUACAUGAGAUCGGAUAAGAAAGAAACAUACUAGACUGCUUCUUGAGUGGCCAGUUCUAGGACUAUUAACUCACUGAAGUUUGUUCCCAGAGUUACUAUCCUCUUAUUGCUCAAAAUUGGUACAGUUUAUUUUAAUGGGGCUACUUUAGUAUAAGAGGAUUGUGGCUUUAUGUCUGGAUUAACACAUUCUCUUCCAAUUUAACAAAGCUGAAAGUGGAAUGGCAUGGGACAAUAUUUAAAUCAGAGAUGAGGUUAACUGAAAGCUUGGAUGCACAAGCAAUAAAGUUUGCUCCAACUGCAUUUGCCUUUUGCAAUAAUAAUAUCUGUUUAUUUCCCUUCUGACACAUGAUAUCCUACAAGGGUAGCAUGUCCUCUCUCCUUUCAAGGAAUGCAGGAUUCUUCAUUGUUCAAAGGCAAAGAGAGAGAAACCAUGUGCAGCAGCUGGGCCUUGGAGGCAAGCGCCUACUUCAACAGAUGCUUGAAAGUGCCAGUCAGGGCUGGCGGCAGCAGUAUUAUUUACAGAUUAUUUUAUUAAUUAAAUUAUUAUACUGUCCUUCAUCUGAAGAUCACAGGGCUAUUUACAAAAAUUGUUCGGCACCUCUUGUGGCCAAUACCCCUGCAAAGGGCCCACUGCCAUUCCCUGGAGACUGCUGGUCUUGCUCCUCAUCCUCACUGCUGUCAAUGCCUGUGUUCACUUGUCAUGUCUAGCAUGCAAACAAUCAGAAGAGUGAGGUGAUACAGCAACAUCCUCUGCCUGCUUUAUUCUCUCUCUCUCUCUCUCUCUCUUUAUCUGAAUGGUUGCAUGGAUUGGUUCCAGAAGAGAAAAGCAAACAAGUUUGCAGAUGUGCAUUGCAGAAUAGGAGUGCUAAGGUUGAGGCCUGCUGAGAGCACCUGACUGACCCGCAAAACUGGAGCCGGCUGCACUACAUUUAUCAAAUUAAUUGCAGUAAAUGAGACUGAGUCACAUGCAUUCAAUAAGCCCAAAGAUGGAGAUGGGUCCGGACUACCUAGGAAGUUUGUGCUCAAUUUGUCUGUUGUCAUAUGUGAGAGCUGCUCACUGUUUGUGCCAACUGAACCAACCUAAAAAUCACAAUACAGGUCAAAAUAAAUUGUGUCAAAUCAAUCAACGAACUCCAGGUCAGCAGCUCUACUAGCCUUGAAAACAUUCAGGGUUUUUGUGUGUGUUUAGUAUAAAGUCUUUAAAUUCAGAAAAAGACCACCUCAGAGACAGGAAUGUUCACUCUGGUUUCUAUGAAUUGUCAUUUCUAAGACCCAAUUAGUAUUCAUUAAUUCUUUUGCAGAAAUACCAUCCUGUUUGUCCUUUGGAAAUUGUAAACAGACACUGACAUCAUGUUGUGUGAUGUGGAGGCAAGAGUUGGCCCCACUCCUGGAUUAAGCCUCUACUUGACUCAAAAGCAAGCUUCUCUCAUCUGUACUCCCCGAUUCUUUGGAUACUUCUCUUAACAAAACCACUUGUUUUCUUGUGGAAAAAAUUGUCUAUUGUGUGACAUCAGUAGAAAAAUAAUCCUGUCUGCAAACACCAUUCUUUUGAAAAAUUUUGUUGUCUGCAUUUAUUAAAUGGUUAGUUAUAAAAAACUUUAUGU